GGGCGUUUCUGUUGCUUCCCCCAAAAACUGCAAACAAAAGGAAGAGAAAUAGUCCAACUCAGGUUCUGAUACAACUGGAUGUGUGAGGAUCCUAGCACCCUUUUGCGGAGUAUUUGCGUUCCGACCUUCUCAUGGUGUUGUAUCGACUAUUGGGCUUCUGACAAACACGCAAAGUUUAGAUACUGUUGGGAAUUCUUGGUUGAUCUCACGACGGACCCUGGCACUCUUAUUCCACCAGAUGUACUAAGUGCAAAAGAUGCGCCUUUAAGUUCAGUAAUUCAUGACUAGUAGAAAACUUCAAUUCCUGGACCACAAACAAAUCAAGGGUGACUUAUCGGGAUCCAAAUAGUUAUAUAAAAAUGAAUCUGGGGCUUCAUCAUUCGAUAAUAAUAUCUUAGAUAAAAGUUCAAAGCAUGAGAAGAUAGUACAAGUAUGUUCUGUUACAAGUAGUGGAACAUCAUCCAUAACAGUUGGUAGUAGUUCAAGUACAAAUGCAAAGGGUUUGUCUUCUGAUCAGCCAAAUCGGUUCCCUUCAAAGCAGAAAGCAAUUGCUGUAGCACCUUUGGAUGCUAAUAAUUCGGUUAGUGAGAAACUCAGCAUAGUACCAAGUUUACAAACUGCUGAAGAUUCUAGAAACCUUUUGCUGAGCUAAACCCUUUCCAAGAAGUUGGAGUCAGAAAAACUUCUGGACCACCCAAAGUUACUGAUAAUAAAAAAAUAAGAGUAUCAGAAGCGUAGAGAAAGCAUUGCUCCAU